ensembl:snRNA U6 U6 spliceosomal RNA
GUGCUUUCUUCGCAGUGUUCCUACUUAAUUUGGGAUGCUACGGAGAAGAUCAGCGUGGCCCCUGUACAAGGAUGACACACAAGUCUGAAAUGUUCCGCCUUAAA